GCAAGGAAAUCAGUGAGAUCUGAGGCAGUGGCUUCUAUAAAGGAACAAGAACCAAGGGGAUCAACUUCUUGCUUAACUAGUAAUUUGAACAAGGAAGAAGGCAUGGUUGAUUCUCCUAAAAGCCUCCUGAGGUCCAGAUCUGUGCCUGCGUCUUCCACAGUGUAUGGUGCUGGGCUCAAUGUUGAGGUUUCAGAUUCGCAGGCUGGCAGAACAGAAGUUUCCAAGGAGCUGACAAAGGCAAAAAGCACGAAGUUAUCUUUAAAGGGGAAAGUUUCUAGCA
rnacentral:misc_RNA from 1 species